rnacentral:rRNA from 1 species
AGCGAACGCUGGCGGCAGGCUUAACACAUGCAAGUCGAGCGGGCAUAGCAAUAUGUCAGCGGCAGACGGGUGAGUAACGCGUGGGAACGUACCUUUUGGUUCGGAACAACUGAGGGAAACUUCGGCUAAUACCGGAUAAGCCCUUACGGGGAAAGAUUUAUUGCCGAAAGAUCGGCCCGCAUCUGAUUAGCUAGUUGGUGAGGUAAUGGCUCACCAAGGCGACGAUCAGUAGCUGGUCUGAGAGGAUGAUCAGCCACAUUGGGACUGAGACACGGCCCAAACUCCUACGGGAGGCAGCAGUGGGGAAUAUUGGACAAUGGGCGCAAGCCUGAUCCAGCCAUGCCGCGUGAGUGAUGAAGGCCCUAGGGUUGUAAAGCUCUUUUGUGCGGGAAGAUAAUGACGGUACCGCAAGAAUAAGCCCCGGCUAACUUCGUG